CUAGCAUAUCAAUAAGCGGAGGAAAAGAAACUAACAAGGAUUCCCCUAGUAACUGCGAGUGAAGCGGGAAAAGCUCAAAUUUAAAAUCUGGCGGUCUUUGGCCGUCCGAGUUGUAGUCUGGAGAAGUGCUUUCCGCGCUGGACCGUGUAUAAGUCUCUUGGAACAGAGCGUCAUAGAGGGUGAGAAUCCCGUCUUUGACACGGACUACCAGUGCUUUGUGAUGCGCUCUCAAAGAGUCGAGUUGUUUGGGAAUGCAGCUCAAAAUGGGUGGUAAAUUCCAUCUAAAGCUAAAUAUUGGCGAGAGACCGAUAGCGAACAAGUACCGUGAGGGAAAGAUGAAAAGCACUUUGGAAAGAGAGUUAAACAGUACGUGAAAUUGCUGAAAGGGAAACGCUUGAAGUCAGUCGCGUCUGCCGGAACUCAGCCUUGCUUUUGCUUGGUGCACUUUCCGGUUGACGGGCCAGCAUCGAUUUUGACCGUCGGAAAAGGGCUAGGGAAAUGUGGCACCUUCGGGUGUGUUAUAGUCUCUAGUCGCAUACGGCGGUUGGGAUCGAGGACCGCAGCGCGCCGCAAGGCAGGGGUUCGCCCACUUUCGCGCUUAGGAUGCUGGCAUAAUGGCUUUAAACGACCCGUCUUGAAACACGGACCAAGGAGUCUAACAAACCUGCGAGUGUUUGGGUGGUAAACCCGAGCGCGUAAUGAAAGUGAAAGUUGAGACCUCUGUCGUGGAGGGCAUCGACGCCCGGACCUGACGUUCUCUGAAGGAUCCGCGGUAGAGCAUGUUUGUUGGGACCCGAAAGAUGGUGAACUAUGCCUGAAUAGGGUGAAGCCAGAGGAAACUCUGGUGGAGGCUCGUAGCGAUUCUGACGUGCAAAUCGAUCGUCAAAUUUGGGUAUAGGGGCGAAAGACUAAUCGAACCAUCUAGUAGCUGGUUCCUGCCGAGCCCCCUUCAUCAGAUAUA
rnacentral:rRNA from 1 species